AGAGAUGUGUGAUGACGCAUAUCAAUAAGCGGAGGAAAAGAAACUAACAAGGAUUCCCUUAGUAACGGCGAGUGAAGCGGGAAGAGCUCAAAUUUGAAAUCUUCAAGGUUCUACCUUGACGAAUUGUAGUUUAUAGAAGUGUUUUCUGUUAGUGGAGUGGCAAAAGUUCUUUGGAAUAGGACAUCAUAGAGGGUGAGAAUCCCGUAUUUGGUCAUUCCUCCUAGCGUUGUGAUACACUUUCAACGAGUCGGAUUGUUUGGGAAUGCAGUCCAAAAUGGGUGGUAAAUUUCAUCUAAAGCUAAAUAUUGGCGAGAGACCGAUAGCGAACAAGUACCGUGAGGGAAAGAUGAAAAGAACUUUGAAAAGAGAGUUAAACAGUACGUGAAAUUGUCAAAAGGGAAGCGUUUGACACCAGUGUUGUUUUUCCGAAAAUCAAUUACGAAUGUUUUGUUCUUGAGGAGUUAUGACUUCAUCGGCUUGCUCCUUUCUUUACGAAACUUUCUUAAUGCCCUUUUCGGUUAACAAGUCAACAUCAAUUUCUUUUGUUGUAAAAGGGUAUGAGGAAGGUGGCUUUCUUUUCGGAGAAAGUGUUUAUAGCCUUAUGCCUCUGCAAUCGGAGAGGUUGAGGUCUGCAGCGUAGAUCCUUCGGGGUUAGAUACAUUUGUGCUAAGUUAUAGCUUUUCAUAGACAACUUGUUGACUAUGUUUAGUCUUGUAGCUUACUCGCUUAUGCUAUUUUACCUACGCUUAGGAUGUUGAAGAUGUAGCACAUCAU
rnacentral:rRNA from 1 species